UGUGAUCUACUUCCAAAAAAUCAGCCACUGAAAACCCCAUGGAGGGCUGUUCUACUCUGACACACAUGAGGUCGCCAUGAGUUGGAGUCAACUCAAUGGCAACUGGUUAGAUGUUCUCUUAAUAUUUGAAUAUCCCAGUUUCAGAUUAUAAAGGCCAGUCUCUUGUGAAUAGAAAAUGUUGAUGUAAGGAAAAGGAUGAUGGAAUGUAAAUAACAUAUAUUGUGUGCCUACUGUAUACUGGACCCUAUGCUGGUUCCUGGGAGUCCUGGUGGCACACUGGGUAAGAGCUAUGGUUGUUAACCAAAAGGUCGGCCGUUUGAAUCCACCAGCCGCACUUUGGAAACCCUAUGGGGCAGUACUACUCUAUCCUGUAGGGUCACUAUGAUUUGGAAUCAACUUGACAGCAAUGGGCUUGGUUUUUGUUUUGGUUUGUGCUGGUUCCUUGGGCUAUGGUGGUGAACAAGAGAGGCAGAGUUCUUAUUUAAUUGAGUUUACAUUUUAAUGGUGUUAGAAGAGGGACAAAGAGUAAACAAGUAAACAAAUAAAGGAAUAAGGUCAAUUUAACUAGCGAUACAGCCCCUUGUUCCUUAUUUAAUGUGACCGAUUAGAGAUUGAUUUGGGUUCAUUAAAGGAAAGCAAAUCUGAGAGGCACUCUGGAAAGUAGAAAGGGAUAACCAUAAACAAACGUGUACCCUCAGAGCUGGAAGGAGGCCUCCUUUGCCAGUGCUUGCUCUGACCUUGGCCAUCUGCCUGCACAGUGGGCCUCUCCUGGUCCAGGCUGUGAGCUGCUUUGGCCAGUCUGUGUGAAAUGCUGAUUCUGAUGCUUUUAGGAGGAGAGUGGUCAUGUCAGCAUCUUCUGUGCCAUGGAUCUAUUGUGAUCAUUUUGUUAGAAGUCACUGAGUUUUGAGAAUUAAAGGGAAACUGCUGAAAGGCAUAUUUUGAGGGAAAAAAGAAAAUAUCGUAGCUCUUUAGAAGGAGAAACAGAAAAGAAACGAUCAGGAACCUAGCAUCAGUACAACAAUGGGACAAAAGGCAUAGUAGGAUCUCAGGAGGCAGGCAGAAGCAGACAACUGACAUCUACAGUAGUAAUAAUAAUAUCUUACAUGUGCAUAGCCCAUAUAGUCCUCACAGAAACACUGUGCCUUAGAUAAGGCAGGUGGUGUUUGUUGCUGUCUGAUCGAUUCCGACUCAUGGUGACCUCGUGUGCAGAGAGUAGAACUGCUCCAUAGAGUUUUCAAGACUCUACCUUUUGGAAGCAGAUCGCCAGGUCUGUCUUCUUAGGCGCCUCUGGGUAGGUUUGAACCACCAACCUUUUGGCUAGUAGUGAAGGGCUUAACCGUUUGAGCAUAGUUACUGCAUUUUACGUAUGGGGAAAUAGACUCAGAGAAAAUAAGAAAUGAUAAUAACAUCUUACUUUUGAAUAACAAGUUUGCAGUUUGUGGAGUACUUACAUGUGAUCUCAGUGUGUCCUCUGGGGUAUUAUUACCCCCAUUUUAUGGACAGGUAAUAGAGACUCAAACUUGCAUGCACUAACUCUACUAGCAAGCAGCAGUCUAGCCCCCUGACUCUUGGUCCUGUGUGGUAAGCCAAGCUGAGCAGCUGGGCCCCAAAUUCGUAAGAGAAUUUGCAACUACAUAGGGACAUUGACUGCCUUGAGCCUCCAGACACACACCCACACAUAAUUUGAAGCAGUGACUAUACUAGAAACAAUGGCAAUCAUGAAUGGAAUGAGGAUGUCAGAUACUCCGGACACAUCAAAUCUAGAACAAGGGAGGCCCACAAGAGAAUCUUUCUUUUUUUUUUUUUAAUUCAGUAAUUUUUAAGAAGACAAGGCAAAGUGGGGUAACAUUUUUAAUUUAAGAAAGCUCACACUUUGCUACCUGCGUUUCUUGUGAGUUCACCAAGUCAACCCCCAGGUCUGGGAGAGACAGCUACGGGGUUGUUAUGAAGAGAAACUUGAUCUUGAAUCAGAGAAGCAGAUUCAUUUCUGAAACCGAGAUUAGCCUCUAGGUUUUCUCCUCACUGUUGCUUAUUUUGGAAUGAAUAUCAUAGAUGGAACUUAAAGGAGAGACUGCCCCUCUUUGCUGAGAAGUGAUUUUGAAUCCAUUCAGAUCCAGGUCUGCAACCUGGAGAAAAUGCAGGGGCUCGUAAUUGAUGGGCUUUGCUUCAAGGCGGAGACCGUGCCUUAUUUAUCUUUGUAUUUCCAGGGUCUACAAUAGUGUCAGAUAUCCAGUAAGCAAGCAUGUGGUGUUUGUUGAACUGAGCUGUGGCAACAUGAAUAUUUAAAAGACCACAGCCCUUUAUAUUUCUGUGACUAAAUGCACUUUUAAGUGCACCAAAUGUGAAGCAUUGAUGUUAGAGGUGUACUUUUGGUUCAGCACAUUUUUUAAAAACAAUCACGUUUAUUGAGUGCUUACCAUGUGUCAGACACUCUUCUGAGUUUUUCUUUUUAAUAUUAAUUUAUAUAUCCUCACAAUUACUUAAUGAAGUAUAUACUAUUAUUUUCCAUUAUACAGAUAAGGAAACUGAGGCAUAAAUGAAGAAAUGUGCCCAGGGUAACAUAGCCUGUAAGUGGUGGAGCUGGGACUUGAAUUGAGCAGGGUGACCCCACUGUCCAUGCUUCUAAUCACUACUUCAUACUGUGUAUAGGGAAGGAUAGUUACACAGUUAUUAUCAGGCUCCGUCUCACACAUGCUCCAUGACUGAGUUUGAGAGCCAGGAGCAACAAGACGUUUGAAAGUCAAAAAUGAUUAGAGCUAACUCGUCAUCUGAAGUGCAGGUGAAGUUCAGACUGAAUGCCUAGCGGCCACAGAGACAGUUGCCAAUAUCCUGUUUUUUAAGAGGUAGAAAGUGCCUGAACAUGUAGAGAUUAUGAGUGACAAAUAUGUUUCAACUCGCAUGCCACGGUAGGUUGGCAGUGGCCACCUACAGGGCUGGGUGGAGGAUUCUAAGGCAAUAUUCAAGCUCAGUGGGAAAGAGUGCUAUGGUUCAUUAUCGAUAUCUGCCAUGGUCAUAAGAGAAGGCAGUGUGGCUGACAGGUCCCUGGGAUGGAUUUGUCAAAGAGUUCAGGAACGCAAACUUAGAGCAUCUUGAAUAUGAAUUCCUGGUGAAAUGUUAACUGUUCUCAUAGAACAGGACCUCACUACACUGUAAAACCAAAGCUGUUGCCAUUGAGUCGAUUCUGACUCAUAGCAACCCUACAGGACAGUGUAGAACUGCCCCACGGGGUUUCCAAGAACAGCUGGUAGAUUCAAACUGUCGGCCUUUUGGUUAGCAGCAGAGCUAUUAACCACUGUGCCACCAGGGCUCCCAUUACACUGUAAGUGGGCCUUAAAUCCAUUUACAGAAUAAGCUUGGGUUUAAAUCGGUUAAUUGACUUGUUUGUAAGUAACUCGAAGAUGGGUACAUUCCAUGAAGAGCAUGGAUGAGGUGACUGAUGCUUCUUUAGUAUUUUGUAAAGUCAAGUACAAACUGAGCUUGACUUCCUCUCCUGUUUGCAACCAGACUGCCCUCCCUAAGCUGUUCUUACUUGGAAAUUCUGGAGGUAUCAUUACUCAGGAUCAGCAUUCUGAAGGAAAUCUUCUUUGGGUAGAAAUGGAGAUAAGAACAAUGUAGGAAUAAGCCAAGUGAUGCCCAAAACUUAAGUGUGAUCACUGGACCUUUCUUCUGUAAAUCAAAUCCUGCUCUAAGCUGCCUUUUAAAAAAAUCAGCAAAUAUAUAUUUAGCUAUUAUGCUCCAAGCCCUACUCUAGGCACCAGAAAUGGAGAGUAAAUGAGACAAGCUACUGUUCUCUUACAGAGUGCUUUCUUUGUUAUGUUAUGCUAAAAGAUAAGUGAUACAGCUUCUUGAGUUUGUGAACUCCCUGAAAUUGAAUGCAAAAUUUUGUGUGAUGGCACAUAUGCAUUUUCAACGUGGACAUGUUUUAUAGUUUUGUCAGAUUCUUCGAGGGUUCCGAGGCCCAACAACCUUAAGCAGAGGCCUGCGAGGACAGGGAGAAGAAUCUCCUGGAAUGGAGUUAGUGUGAUUCUUCAAUCUACACAGAGAAGUUAAGCUCUAGAGAUCCAAAUAUUCCCAUUCUCUGUGUAUCUGUUCAUUCUAGUUUUAGGAGUGUGAACAGAAAGAAUGUCGCUUUCUUCAUGGCUAAGAUACUUCCUUUACCUUGGACGCUUGUUAUCUAUUUUAUUAUCUGUCUAGCUUGUUAUCUAUUUUAUUAUCUAUCUAAGCAUUUUCUUCUUUUCUAAAAGGCAAGCAUUCCUUACGUAGCAGCUGAACUCUUUUUACUCUGUUUGGAAGAUUAGGUUUGAACCCAGCCCAGCAACUUUUUAUUUUGUGUUUCACUCUGAGUGACCUCCCAGCCUUUUCAGGCUUCCUUCUCUCCCACCUUGACCUCUAACUCCAAAUUUAUGUCUCCCUGUCACUGGGGGAAAACUUCUUGAUGGACGGGAUGGAGCUUCGUCUUGAGGAUUUUCAUUAUAACACUGACUAUUGUUAGCAGUGCACUCCAGCCUGCUAGCGUUCAUAUUUUGGCAGUGGACCAUCAAACACCCUAUUUUUAAGAGCCUUUAACUUAGUUGUAAACAUGUGCUGUGACUGGGAGCUCACUUUCUUUAUUCAUAUUUAACCAACGUGGUUUAGCUGUUGAAAAGUUGUUAAAAAAAAAAAAAAGCACAGACUUCAGGACUGUUUUUUCCACUCAUCUAACUCAAAGCUGUGCGUGAUCUCAAAAAGAAAACUUGGCAUUAAGUGCUUUAUUUGAUGGUCCAGUCAUAUUGGUAAUUCGAGGGGAGGAAGAAAUGAAACUGCUGGGUCAUUUACAAACACGCAUGGAGGGAAUGGGCCCAGUGAUGGCUGCCGUCCAUACAUACAUGAUGGGCAAGAGUCGCUCAAAGAGAGGCAGGCCAAUAUGCCGCAUAAGUUAUUUAUGCCCUUAAAAUCGUCUAUAUUUAGAAUAAAAACUUAUCAUAGACAUAUUUCCCACACACUCUAAAUUGUGGAGACUUUAUUAAUCCCAUUAGGAGAACAUAAAUAAUGUCGCAAACUUUCAGCGUCCAGCUUGCACAUGUACAGAUGUUUCAUUGAUGUCGGAGGACCUUAAAAAUAAUAUACAGAAAUUUGGUGAAAGAAAGAGUAUCACAAAUACUCCUUUUUCUUUAAUCUCUAGAAGGAAUGUAGGCGAGUGUAACAAAGCAUAUUAAUGUUUUGAAGAGAUUGUGACUUAUAGUACUGGAGCAGGAGCUGGAGGAAUUUAAAUGUUAAAAGGAGAGUUUGAACUUUGAUAUCUUCCUCUCGUGAUUUAAGAUUCUAAAAGUUAACGUCGGGCAAAAUCUUGUACUCUGUCACUGGAGAAAUACCAGCUUUUCCACAAGCGUUUAGAAUUUCUUGAAACUAUUUGCAGCAGAACAGGGCAACUGUGCUUUGGAGACUGGCUGCAUCUGUGAGGUAGGAGAGAAGAAGGUCCGGGAACAUGUCAUUUCAGGGGCCUUGAGCCCAGUCGGCAUCCAUGUGCUGUGGAAGUACCACGGCCUGGAAAUCCUCUGAUUAAAUGAUGAGUGUGUCUCUUUUCCACACCGAUCCUGUUUGAAGGCGCCUUGCCUCGGUGUUGUUUUUACCCCUUGGGCUGCUUUUUGAUGUUGUUUUCCUCCCCACAUCCGAGGCAGAUGAGCACCAACACAGGCCAGCACAUGGCUUCCACAUGUUCUCUCCCUCCACCCUGAAUGGCAGUGCUCUGAAGACAUCGGCGUUCUUGGUCCUUGUCAGCAUACUCAAGUAAACAGUCUCAAUGUUUUAAGACCUUUAUUCCUUUUCAUAAAUAUAAUAAGAAAAGUUACUUUUCUUAGUCAAGCCUUAUGAUUUUAAAACAAGCAACAAAAAAGCAAGGAGCCACUGCAUCCUAAACACUUAUGGUUUGGUGCUUGCAGUAUUGAGUCCUCCUGAAAAACAAAGUAAAGAAAAAAUUAACCCCUUUGGAGUACAGAAGGUUCUAGUAGCCAUACCAGUGAUGAAUCUCAGCUUUUUGCUCCGGUCACAGUCACAUCAGCACUGAUGCAAGGCCAUAAACUAAGUAACCAUAAACCAAAAGCAGAAUUUCACUACUCUGCUGGACCCUGAACUGAACCAAAACCAAAUAUAAUGUUGGAAUGGAACAAAAACAUGUCCAAAAAUAGACCUAGUGAACUAGUUCAAACCAGAAUGAUACUUACAUAUGUUGUAAAAUGACUGAACAGAGCAAAACUAGAGUUUAAAAAAAAAUCCCACAAACAUAACCUGAACCAAACCAAUGGCCCAUGAGUUUGGACAUCUGCACUGCCGUCAUUUAUGAGAUGCCAGCAGGAAUUGAAGGAUUUGGACUCUGCUAUUCUGUUGACCUCCCCAAAGAUGACUGUCUCUGGGACACUGAGUCAGGUGGCAAGUGUUAACAAACAAUACCUGUUUCUUUGUCAGACAGAGCACCGGUAAGCAAUACCCUUACUUUGUCAGAGAUACCAGAAGGAGGGGUUUUCUCAACUUUGGCACUGUUAAUAUUUUGGACCAGAUAAUUCCUUUCGGUAUGUGCGUUGUAGGAUGUUUAGCAGAAAACCUCACUUCUACCCUCUGAGUGCCAAUAGCCCUUCUCCAGUUGUAACAGUUAAAAAUGUCUCCAGUCAUUGCCAGUGUCCCCUGGGGAGUAAAAUCGCCCCGGUUGAGAACCACUGCAAUAGAGGAGCAGUCAUUAGCCUCUUGCAUUGGUUCAAAAAGGUUUUCCAGUGGAUGUUGGAAAGAGAAGCCACAUACCUGCAUAGACAGGCUACCUAGUAGAAAAUAUGUCAGUCUCUAAGUCUUCACUUCAGUCUUGGCUUCUCUGCUAAAGCAAGAAAUCUUUCAUGUUGGAAAGACCAUGUAUGGUACUAUUGUGAGGGAUACCAAGUGAAAACACUGUCAAUUAUUGAAGACAUUGGUCAACAAACACUUUUUAAAAAAUUUAUCUCAUACCAGCUUUUGGUGUUGGUGAUCAAAUGAUUUCAAGAUCUCUGAUACACUGCAAUCAGUGUUUAUCUUCAUAUUCUAAAAACGAUGUGGAAAUAUUUCAACAUAUUGAGUCUAAAAGUUUUUCCAGUUCACAGUGUAGGGAGAUGUUUGAUACAGGCUGCCUACAUAGCCUACAGUGAAUUAUUUAUACAUUAGAGCGCUAUUUCAGGAGAAUUAGACGUCUUAAUUAUAACUUUUUUAAAUUUGUGUGUAUAUAGUGUAUGCCUUUGAAAUGAAAUUUAUAGUUACUCUGUGCUUCAAUGGGGCUUUUCAAUUUUUAUAUACUAUAACAGUACCUUUCCCUUGGCAGUCUUCAUUUGGGAGGAAGAUUCAUUUGUACAUCAGAGCAUUAUUUUGAACAGUGGGUUUUGACAAGAUUGUAAUGUGGUAAUUGCAUUUAAAAUUGAGUUGUGCCAAAGCAUUGCAAAAAUAAUAGUAAGUCCACUAAAUAUAUAACACUGACACACAGAGUUCAUCAGCUUUUCUUAAUACUGUGAAAAACAACCGAAAUUUUCUAUUUUUUGGUAGGUGAGGAAAACCUGGGGAUAGACUAAUCUCAGUAUAAAAUUGAACAGCUAGUCGAGUUUUCCAAAUGGUUUAUUUUAAUGGUGAUUUAGCAUUCUAAGGCACGGACCUUUAGCUUUUGUUAGCUUUUGUCUUUGCAUGUAGAUUAUAAUGCAAAGUGUUGUAUAGCAACGAAAGCUAUUGGUUAGUAUUUUUUCAUAGAUUGUUAAGUGAUGAUGAUACUGAUGGAACUUAUAAUAACAAGAAGUACACCUUAAUCUCAUUUAAUCUCCACAACUAUACUGUUUGGAAUCAGUAUUUUCCCUAUUUUGCCAGUGAGAAAACUGAGACUCAGAAAUGUUAAGAAGACCUGAUCAGGUCACCAGAGCUGUGAUGAUGGGGAGGGCAGGAGUGAGGAAUACUAAUAAUUGAGAACUUACUGGACAUAAGAAACCCUGGUCGUUCAAUGGUUAGGCGCUCAGCUGCUAACUGAAAGGUUGGCGGUUUGAAUUCACCCAACAGCUCCAAGAGAGAAAAAUCUGGCGAUCUGCUCCUAUAAAGAUUACAGCCUAAAAAACCCUGUGGGACAGUUCUACUCUGUCACAAGGGGUUGCUAUUAGUCAAAAUCUACUCAACCAUGCCCAACAACAUCAACUGGUACGCAUACAUCAUUGACCACCGUUCUGCUCCAUGACGUGGGUCCCAUUUUUCUGUUUUCUGAUGAUGAAACCCAUACUCCAAGAGCAAACACAACAGCUAGUGAAUGAUAGCAGCAGAAUUUGAAACCAGGCCUUCUGACUCUCUUGGAUUUUUUGGGUUUUUUUUUAAUUGAUGUUGUCGAUUUAGCUGUUUCUUGAAUUCAAAAACACAAAAGGAGCUCGAGGUAUAUGAAUUCACACUUAAUAAUGUCUGAACUCCAACUAUGCAAAAGUAUAAUCACCUUCUGGCCUCAGUUUUUUAGGAACAGCCAGUCCCUGAAAGUUGUCCAUUCUGUCCCAGGAAUCUGCCCUUACUCUAAAAUUGACCAAAAUAUCCAGAGGUUUUGCAUCACUCUAUUCUAGUCUUCCUGAGAACUACCUUAGAGAAACGAUGACAAGGUCAGUGACAUCCUCCAACAGGAGCUGCCAGCCAUUCACUUCCAUCUUUUCUGUGGCCAUCAACCAGGGGAGGAAGAGAAUUCACCUCUGUGGGCUGCAGCCUGGAGCCUUUUCUGUCAACUUCCAAUGUUUUAAAUCAUCCAAACCUAACACUAUCUGCCAGCCAUUUAGAGAACAGGACAGACUUACUUUAAGGCAAUCAGCAGGCUUCGGGAUAUACCAUACCAGUGUCGUCAGGUGUGUGAGCUUGAGUAUUUAAUGGACCAAUUCUGACUUAAAAAUGUUAGCAUGAUUUACAUCUUUGGUUGCAAUUGUAGUUGUUUCAACCAGUUUUACCCAUGGCUGGCAAGUCUGUGCCUCUUAGUCCAGUCCUGGUGUCACAUGCUCUUUCUGACUUGGACUUCGGCCCAAAAACUUCUUCAUUCUCUGUUUUCUCCAUAGACUCCUGAAGCCCAAUGUGGUUACUUACUCCUUUGGAAAAUGACCCUUCAACAAAUCCUUUUAAAAUUUCUCCCUGCUUAGUUCUGUUUCUCCAAGCAGCUUCCAUUAACUGGUCUAUCAGUGACUAAGUAAUAUUCUCCCCUUUAUAAACAAGUUCUUCAUCUGACCAGCUCUGGUGACAACAGACACUUGAAUAAGUUCAUAUUUCUUGACUUAGCUCUUCUAGUAAUUUCUGGCUAACAAAAAAAAAAAUAG